CAGUCGCCGCGGUAAUACGAAGGGGGCUAGCGUUGCUCGGAACGACUGGGCGUAAAGGGCGCGUAGGCGGAUGGUACAGUCAGACGUGAAAUUCCUGGGCUCAACCUGGGGACUGCGUUUGAGACGUGCGAUCUAGAGUUUGGAAGAGGGUCGUGGAAUUCCCAGUGUAGAGGUGAAAUUCGUAGAUAUUGGGAAGAACACCGGUGGCGAAGGCGGCGACCUGGUCCUUGACUGACGCUGAGGCGCGAAAGCGUGGGGAGCAAACAGGAUUAGAUACCCCCGUAGUCCCUGUCUCUUAUAC
rnacentral:rRNA from 1 species